UACGUAGGGUGCGAGCGUUGAUCGGAAUUACUGGGCGUAAAGCGUGCGCAGGCGGUUCGUCAAGUCUGAUGUGAAAGCCCCGGGCUCAACCUGGGAAUGGCAUGGGAAACUGGCGAGCUGGAGUGCGGCAGAGGGGGGUGGAAUUCCGGGUGUAGCAGUGAAAUGCGUAGAGAUGCGGAGGAACACCGAUGGCGAAGGCAGGCCCCUGGGCCGACACUGACGCUCAGGCACGAAAGCGUGGGGAGCAAACAGG
rnacentral:rRNA from 1 species